rnacentral:lncRNA from 1 species
CGGCAGUUCAAUGUGAACUCGGGAGACGUGGAUCGCGUUCUCUUGACUACGCUCCGUCGGAGAUCAGCGACGGACAGUGGUCAACAACAUGGUCGCUUCCUGGCGAGCCUCCCCAAGUCAUCAUCAAGAGUAAACCGUUCGUCAAGCGGCCCAUCGAGAUGUUUCCUGGCCGACUACUGGACCUGUGCAACCAGGAUGCACCGCUCACGUUCCUCGCUCU